GGGGGUAUAGCUCAGCUGGGAGAGCACCUGCUUUGCAAGCAGGGGGUCAGCGGUUCGAUCCCGCUUAUUUCCACCA
rnacentral:tRNA from 1 species